AUUGAACGCUGGCGGCAGGCCUAACACAUGCAAGUCGAGCGAGCGGCGGACGGGUGAGGAAUGUAUGGGGACUGCCCGAUAGAGGGGGAUAACUACUGGAAACGGUAGCUAAUACCGCAUACUAUCGGAUAACCCAUAGGGGAUUAGCUAGUCGGUGAGGUAAUGGCUCACCUAGGCGACGAUCCCUAGCUGGUCUGAGAGGAUGAUCAGCCACACGGGGACGGAGACACGGCCCAGACUACUACGGAGGCAGCAGUGGGGAAUAGUGCACAAGGGGCGCAAGCCUGAUGCAGCCAUGCAGCGUGUAGGAAGAAGGCCCUAGGGUUGUAAAGUAUUUUCAGUCGGGAGGCGUUACCGACAGAAGAAGCACCGGCUAACUCCGUGCCAGCCGCCGCGGUAAUAC
rnacentral:rRNA from 1 species